rnacentral:rRNA from 1 species
GACGAACGCUGGCGGCGUGCUUAACACAUGCAAGUCGAACGGAAAGGCCCUGCUUUUGUGGGGUGCUCGAGUGGCGAACGGGUGAGUAACACGUGAGUAACCUGCCCUUGACUUUGGGAUAACUUCAGGAAACUGGGGCUAAUACCGGAUAGGAGCUCCUGCUGCAUGGUGGGGGUUGGAAAGUUUCGGCGGUUGGGGAUGGACUCGCGGCUUAUCAGCUUGUUGGUGGGGUAGUGGCUUACCAAGGCUUUGACGGGUAGCCGGCCUGAGAGGGUGACCGGCCACAUUGGGACUGAGGUACGGCCCAGACUCCUACGGGAGGCAGCAGUGGGGAAUAUUGCACAAUGGGCGGAAGCCUGAUGCAGCAACGCCGCGUGCGGGAUGACGGCCUUCGGGUUGUAAACCGCUUUCGCCUGUGACGAAGCGGGAGUGACGGUAAUGGAUAAAGAAGCACCGGCUAACUACGUG